UACGGAGGGUGCGAGCGUUGUCCGGAAUCACUGGGCGUAAAGGGCGCGUAGGCGGCCUGGUAAGUAGGGGGUGAAAUCCUGCGGCUUAACCGCAGGGCUGCCUUCUAAACUGUCGGGCUCGAGCACAGUAGAGGCAGGUGGAAUUCCCGGUGUAGCGGUGGAAUGCGUAGAGAUCGGGAAGAACAUCGGUGGCGAAGGCGGCCUGCUGGGCUGUUGCUGACGCUGAGGCGCGACAGCGUGGGGAGCAAACAGG
rnacentral:rRNA from 1 species